rnacentral:rRNA from 1 species
GGCGGAGCGUCGUUUGCGACGCCCAACACACAAAACAAGCGGUGAGUGCUUUGGGGUGGGGUGACUGCGUACCUUUUGUAUAAUGGGUCAGCGACUUAUAUUCUGUAGCAAGGUUAACCGUAUAGGGGAGCCGAAGGGAAACCGAGUCUUAACUGGGCGUUAAGUUGCAGGGUAUAGACCCGAAACCCGGUGAUCUAGCCAUGGGCAGGUUGAAGGUUGGGUAACACUAACUGGAGGACCGAACCGACUAAUGUUGAAAAAUUAGCGGAUGACUUGUGGCUGGGGGUGAAAGGCCAAUCAAACCGGGAGAUAGCUGGUUCUCCCCGAAAGCUAUUUAGGUAGCGCCUCGUGAACUCAUCUUCGGGGGUAGAGCACUGUUUCGGCUAGGGGGUCAUCCCGACUUACCAACCCGAUGCAAACUGCGAAUACCGAAGAAUGUUAUCACGGGAGACACACGGCGGGUGCUAACGUCCGUCGUGAAGAGGGAAACAACCCAGACCGCCAGCUAAGGUCCCAAAGUCACAGUUAAGUGGGAAACGAUGUGGGAAGGCUCAGACAGCCAGGAUGUUGGCUUAGAAGCAGCCAUCAUUUAAAGAAAGCGUAAUAGCUCACUGGUCGAGUCGGCCUGCGCGGAAGAUGUAACGGGGCUAAACUGUGCACCGAAGCUGCGGCAGCGACGCUUAUGCGUUGUUGGGUAGGGGAGCGUUCUGUAAGCCUGCGAAGGUGUCCUGUGAGGGAUGCUGGAGGUAUCAGAAGUGCGAAUGCUGACAUAAGUAACGAUAAUGCGGGUGAAAAGCCCGCUCGCCGGAAGACCAAGGGUUCCUGUCCAACGUUAAUCGGGGCAGGGUGAGUCGACCCCUAAGGCGAGGCCGAAAGGCGUAGUCGAUGGGAAACGGGUUAAUAUUCCCGUACUUGGUGUUACUGCGAAGGGGGGACGGAGAAGGCUAUGUUGGCCGGGCGACGGUUGUCCCGGUUUAAGCGUGUAGGCUGGUUUUCCAGGCAAAUCCGGAAAAUCAAGGCUGAGGCGUGAUGACGAGGCACUACGGUGCUGAAGCAACAAAUGCCCUGCUUCCAGGAAAAGCCUCUAAGCAUCAGGUAACAUCAAAUCGUACCCCAAACCGACACAGGUGGUCAGGUAGAGAAUACCAAGGCGCUUGAGAGAACUCGGGUGAAGGAACUAGGCAAAAUGGUGCCGUAACUUCGGGAGAAGGCACGCUGACACGUAGGUGAAGUGAUUUACUCA